CACUUUGACAGCACGUACACUAAACAAAAUGGAAUGACACAAAGAAAAUUCCCAUGGCCCUUGCACAAGCAUGAUGCACAAAUUUGAGAAAAUGAUUUGAAAGUA